CCAGCUGCAUGGAGAAGAGCGCGUAGUCUUCGAGCGGCGUGACCACGGACCUCACUCCACUGGUUGGCCGAUUCCCUCGCAAGUCAAGGUGAUUGUUUUGGUUGUCUUGGACUUGAGACUGGAUCCUGCUCAAGCUCUCACGGACUUGCUCCUGCAGGAAAGUUGGGAAGACUGGACGCCAAAAGGAGCUGAGAGGCCUGUCCUCUCCGGCGGCACGUACCACGAAGAAGCAAACGACGAUGGAGAAAACGCUUUUGAGACGCUGACCAUAGCUCUCGCUGGAGUUUGAGCGGAGAUGGGAAAGAACUUCUCGCGAUCGAGGCAUGAUCUUUCAGAGCAGUGAAUGGUCGUCGAGCUUAAAGCAGGUUGCUCACUAGUGGGAGGUGAUGACAGAUGCAAGGAAUCAGUCAGGCCACCGCGAAGUCAACUUUCCCGGAAGGAAAAAAAGAUUUCUCGGCAUAGUACGUCAACGAGGUACAUGUUUUUCGUCUAUUAUCAGUGGCCUGCUGACGCUCUACGUGACUCUUGCAUGCAAACGCAAUCGCUCAAAAACAUUUUCCGGAAAGCAGCAAUCAAUACCUUGAAUGAUUUGCGUCGUCUCUCAAAUCUGCGCACCCCAGACAUCUUGCCUGGCUUUUAGUCGCCAGCCUUUGAGCUCGCUGCCCUCG
rnacentral:lncRNA from 1 species